rnacentral:misc_RNA from 1 species
GAAAUGCGAUAAGUAAUGUGAAUUGCAGAAUUCAGUGAAUCAUCGAAUCUUUGAACGCACCUUGCGCUCCUUGGUAUUCCGAGGAGCAUGCCUGUUUGAGUGUCAUGAAACCCUCAAACCCAAGUUUUGGAUUUCGGUCAAUGCUUGGGUUUGGAUUUGGAUGUUUGCCGGUGAUGAACCGCCUCAUCUUAAAAGUAUUAGCUGGAUCUGUCUAUAUGACUGUUUUGACUUGGACUAAUAAGUAUUCUGCUGCGGAUAUCUUCGGAUGGCCAGUACCUUGACUACUGUCUGCUAGCUAAACCACCACUUUAAGUGCAUCUUUGGAUGUUACUCAUUGUGUAACUUUGACACCUGGCCUCAAAUCAAGUAGGACUACCCGCUGAACUUAA